CCCGAAUGCCUUGAUGGGAUCGGAUCGACAUUCUUUAGCUGUGAUUUAAAAGAGGAAUGCAUCUGUCCUCCCCGUCUUCUGCUGUUAACAUAAUGGUUCCCAUAAGGGCUGAUGCCAGAGUUGGGGAGAAUCAAAGCGUCGAAGAUUCCUGGAAACUCCGUCUUGACAUUGUCAUCUUUUACUGAGAGCAAACGGAGAGAUCUCCAACAUCACUGGCAGCUGGAAAUUUGUUCGGGGACCAAAUGAAGUUUAAUCAGGACAGUGACAAUUUACAGCCUGGAACAAUCUGAACAUCAAACAGAUUUCGCUGCCUGUGAGUGCAUCGCAAAUCAUGUCAGGUUGCAGAAGACAGCAUGCACAAUCAGAAAAAAAAAGGAAAAAAGAGCUCACAAACAACUGGAACUGUGCGAGACGUGCAUCUCAAAUCAUGCAGAGAUCCCAGGAAGUGAUGUGUUUGUAACCUCGGUGACGUCUCAGUUUCAGAAGAUUGAUUGGAUGUCGGAACAUCUGUAAGAAAAUUUAUCAUCCAGUUCGCAGCUGCCAAUACUGCAGCUUUAACGUCAGUUUCAUCGUCCAAGAACAACAAGCAUGUCAUUCAAACCAAUU